rnacentral:rRNA from 1 species
UCAAGAACGAACGCUGGCGGCAUGCCUAACACAUGCAAGUCGAACGAGACCUUCGGGUCUAGUGGCUCACGGGUGCGUAACACGUGGGAAUUUGCCUCGGGGUAUGGAAUAACUCAGGGAAACUUGAGCUAAUACCAUAUAAUGUCUUCGGACCAAAGAUUUAUCGCCCUGAGAUAAGCCCGCGUAGGAUUAGCUAGUUGGUGGGGUAAAGGCUCACCAAGGCGACGAUCCUUAGCUGGUCUGAGAGGAUGAUCAGCCACACUGGGACUGAGACACGGCCCAGACUCCUACGGGAGGCAGCAGUGGGGAAUAUUGGACAAUGGGCGAAAGCCUGAUCCAGCAAUGCCGCGUGAGUGAUGAAGGCCUUCGGGUUGUAAAGCUCUUUUACUCGGAACGAUAAUGACGGUACCGAGAGAAUAAGCCCCGGCUAACUCCGUG